rnacentral:rRNA from 1 species
AAUAUUGGGCAAUGGGCGAAAGCCUGAUCCAGCCAUGCCGCGUGUGUGAAGAAGGUCUUCGGAUUGUAAAGCACUUUAAUUUGGGAGGAAGGGCAGUAAGUUAAUACCUUGCUGCUUUGACGGUACCGACAGAAUAAGCACCGGCUAUCUUUGUGCCAGCAGCCGCGGUAAUACAGAGGGUGCAAGCGUUAAUCGGAAUUACUGGGCGUAAAGCGCGCGUAGGUGGUUCGUUGAGUUGGAAGUGAAAGCCCCGGGCUUAACCUGGGAAUUGCUUUCAAAACUGACGAGCUAGAGUACGGUAGAGGGUAGUGGAAUUUCCUGUGUAGCGGUGAAAUGCGUAGAUAUAGGAAGGAACAUCAGUGGCGAAGGCGACUACCUGGACUGAUACUGACACUGAGGUGCGAAAGCGUGGGGAGCAAACAGG